UACGUAGGGAGCAAGCGUUGUCCGGAAUCAUUGGGCGUAAAGCGCGCGUAGGUGGCUUUGUAAGUCCGUUGUGAAAGUCAAAGGCUCAACCUUUGAAAGCCGAUGGAUACUGCAGAGCUAGAGUACGGAAGAGGCGAGUGGAAUUCCUGGUGUAGCGGUGGAAUGCGCAGAUAUCAGGAGGAACACCAAUAGCGAAGGCAGCUCGCUGGGACGUUACUGACACUGAGGCGCGAAAGCGUGGGGAGCGAACAGG
rnacentral:rRNA from 1 species